CGUCGUCGCGACCACGACACAGCACGUUCGAGAACGCGCAGUCGCGCGCCGGUUUUCGGGUGGGAGGUGUGAUCAGCUGCGAACACACGAGGAUUCCGAAAUGUUCGCGCUGCACAGGUUUAUAUUAUCGAUCAGUUGCCGAAAUUGCGGAGGACCAUGGACGCGAACAACGAUUCCACCUUCGCAUAUUGCCUCGAAAGAUGUUCAACAGAGAGACAUACACGAGGUUUCCGGAGAUGUGAUACCGAUCAAUAUGGUAAAAGGUAUUGGACAUCUCAGAGAUCCUCGACUUAACAAGGGCUUGGCGUUCACGUUAAAAGAAAGAAUAGCGCUAGGUAUACAUGGAUUGCAGCCUCCCAGAUUUAAAACCCAAGAGGAGCAGUUAGCUCUGUGCAAAGCUUCGGUGAUGAAAUACACGGAGGAUUUAAAUCGAUAUUUGUAUCUCGUAGAACUACAGGAAAGAAACGAAAGGUUAUUUUUCCGCCUGUUAAGCGAAAAUAUCGAGCAAAUGAUGCCAAUUGUCUAUACACCUACCGUCGGUUUGGCCUGCCAGAAAUUUGGUGUGAUAUAUCGCAGGCCUCGAGGACUUUUCAUCACGAUAUACGAUAAAGGCCAUAUUUACGAAAUCUUGAAUAAUUGGCCGGAGCAAGCGGUGCGCGCCAUUUGUGUAACAGACGGCGAGCGAAUUUUAGGUCUAGGUGACCUCGGAGCGUGCGGUAUGGGUAUCCCCGUUGGAAAACUAGCGCUUUACACAGCGUUGGCUGGCAUAAAACCGCACCAAUGCCUACCAAUCACGAUUGAUGUAGGCACCAAUAACGAGCAACUGAGAAAUGAUCCUCAUUAUAUCGGUCUGAACAAGCCGCGCAGUCAAGGUGCUGAGUAUGACGAAUUAAUCGACGAGUUUAUGGCUGCUUGCGUGAAAAAGUACGGACAAAACGUUCUUAUUCAAUUCGAAGACUUCGGAAAUCACAAUGCAUUCCGCUUCCUCGACAAAUAUAGAAACAAGUAUUGCACGUUCAACGAUGAUAUACAAGGCACGGCCGCAGUUGCAGUGGCCGGAAUUCUGGCAUCGAAAAGAAUAACAAAGAAACGAAUGUCCGAUAACAAGUUUGUCUUCCUUGGUGCUGGAGAGGCGGCCAUCGGAAUCGCCGAUCUUUGCGUUAAAGCAAUGGAGGCUGACGGUUGUACCGAGCAGCAGGCGCGCGAUAAUAUUUGGAUGAUGGAUAUCGAUGGAUUGCUCGUAAAAAAUCGACCCGAGGGCAAUUUAGAAGGCCACAAGAUCUGGUACGCAAAGGAUCACAAAGUGAUGAAGACGCUUAUCGAGGUGGUGAAGGAGAUCAAACCUACCGUUUUGAUAGGUGCUUCGGCAGCAGCAGGUGCAUUCACUCCUGAGGUCCUGAAAGAGAUGGGAAAGAACAACGAGAGACCGUUGAUCUUCGCUCUGAGCAAUCCGACCAGUAAAGCCGAAUGUACGGCGCAGCAGGCGUAUGAUCACACCGAUGGUAGAUGUAUAUUCUCUUCCGGUUCGCCAUUCGGUGAAGUAAAAUACGGCGGAAAGAUGUACAAACCUGGGCAAGGUAAUAACGCAUACAUUUUUCCGGGUAUUGCUCUGGGCGUUAUUGCGACCGGUGUUCAUCAUAUCACCGAAGAUCUCUUCUUGAUUUCGGCGCAAGCUGUUGCCGAUCACGUGAAAGACGAGGAUCUCGCAAGGGGCAGUCUGUAUCCUCCGUUGAGCACAAUCCGCGAGUGCUCUAUCGACAUCGCGGUCAGGAUCGCCAAUUACGCUUAUGCCAAAGGUGGUUUGGCAAGCGAAUAUCCGGAGCCAAAAGACAAGCGACAAUUCAUUAUGAGCAAAAUGUACAAUGCCAACUAUGACAGUCCACUGCCAAAUGUGUACGAAUGGCCGGGUGAUUAUGCCAAACCGCGCAUCUUGCCGGAAAAAGACACGGUAGAAAUCCGCCACGAUUUAAAACAUCUGUAGCGGAUUUCAAGGACCGGGAAUAUAUUCGGAGGCUGUCAUUAUGUUUUUAAAUGAUAAAAUAAAAACUGUCGAUGUCUUUACAACUCAUACUCAAUAUCAUUUCAUGACAUAGCAAAACGGACUUGCAAAGUUUUAACAUUAUGACGUGUUGGAGAGUCUAAAUGUGAGACGACUACUUUGACAUAUACAUAACUUUAUAGUUCUCUUAGUUCUUAGUUUUUUGAGUGGACAUGUAGAUGUUAAUAUUAUUAUAUGAGUAUGUGAUCAAUAUAUAUUACUCAUAUGUGUUUAUUAGUAUUUAUAAAAGCUUUAUCACGUUUAAAUGUGCUCGCGCGCGUGUACUUAUAUUUGUUUAUUAUAAUAAUUUAUUUUUUAUAACAAUAUGUUCCAUACAAAAAAAAAUAUGUAGAACUAACAAAAACUUGCACUUUCGAUUUUCGACGUUUACGCUUAUCGCCUUUCAUGUUUCCCUUGUUCUACAAUGCCGUUGUCCAUUCUUUGCUAUCGCCGAAAUUUUACACAAAAUCUGUUUUGAGAUCAAGUGUAUAGACAAGCUGGGAUACAUAAAAAUAGUGAAACGCUGAAAUUUAUUCUAAAAUGCAAGUUUCUGUCCCACCUUGUUUAUAUUUCAUCAGUGAUUUAUUUCGACAUGAAUAUUCCGAUAUAUUUUAAAGAGUAUUUAUUUUUUUUAAAGAUUCAUUUAAUAUUAAUUACAGUGUUGUAUCCCCACUAGAAAAUAAACAGUGAAUAUAGACGUGUUAAGUAUACAUAGUACAGUAGUUCCUUGCUAAUGUUCCCAUCUUCGGUUCCGCGACAGGAGCGAUAUCGAAGGAGGUAUUGUUUCGAGAAUUGCCGGCUGUUAUCUCUGAUUGGCUCGACUGCGGAGUCAUCCUCACCAAUUUCUGGAAGUGCUUCACGAAGCUUCGGCUAUUGUUCUAGGAACAAUAUUGAGAGAAAAAUUGCGAACAUUAGCGAGGAACUACUGUAUUCUAUAACUACUGCCCAAUAUUUUUUAAAUAGAGUUUAGAACUUUCUGAAACAAAAAGUUUAAUACGCGGUGAGACUAUAAUAAUAAAUUAUAAAAAAUUAAAGAUUACUAAUCAUAAUGCACAUUAGGCGUUCAAAUAUGGCAAAAAGCAGCAAAUGGUGAAGAUGAUUAUUAUAUAAUAUUAUAUUUAUAAUAUAUAAAUGUACAUGUUAUAACUAAUAUUAUUUUAUUAUAAAUACAUAG